rnacentral:rRNA from 1 species
AACGAACGCUGGCCGCAUGCCUAACACAUGCAAGUCGAACGAGACCUUCGGGUCUAGUGGCGCACGGGUGCGUAACGCGUGGGAACCUGCCCUUAGGCUCGGAAUAACUCCACGAAAGGGGUGCUAAUACCGGAUAAUGUCCUCGGACCAAAGAUUUAUCGCCUUUGGAUGGGCCCGCGUUGGAUUAGCUAGUUGGUAGGGUAAAAGCCUGUCAAGGCGACGAUCCAUAGCUGGUCUGGGAGGAUGAUCAGCCACACUGGGACUGAGACACGGCCCAGACUCCUACGGGAGGCAGCAGUGGGGAAUAUUGGACAAUGGGCGAAGGCCUGAUCCAGCAAUGCCGCGUGAGUGAUGAAGGCCUUAGGGUUGUAAAGCUCUUUUACCCGGGAUGAUAAUGACAGUACCGGGAGAAUGAGCGCCGGCUAACUCCGUG